rnacentral:rRNA from 1 species
AUGGCGCAACAAGAACUAGAUGUCAUGUACUACUACAAUUACCUCUUCAUGGCUACCGUCCUGCUACUCCCCUUACUCCUCAUCUCCAUGUUCAAGCCACGCAAGCAUGGCGGCGAGAACCUUCCCCCCGGACCAUGGCGGCUGCCGGUCAUCGGCAGCAUGCACCACCUCGUCGGCGCACUCCCGCACCACGCCAUGCGUGACCUUGCCCGCCGGUACAAUGCUCCUCUCAUGCUGCUCCGCCUGGGGGAGCUCGACGUCGUUGUGGCCUCGUCCGCCAGCGCGGCGAAGGAGAUCAUGAAGACCCACGACGCGGUAUUCGCCACGCGGCCGAGGACCGCCACCCUCCGCGCCAUCACGAGAGACGACCUCGGCAUCACCCUUACACUGCACGGCGAGCACUGGCGCCGCCUUCGCAAGCUCUGCGUCACCGAGCUACUCAAUGCGCGGCAAGUCCGGUCCCUCCGGGGAUGCCGCGAGGCCAAGGCCGCCGCCCUAGUCUCCUCCAUCGUCUCGUGGCUAUCGUCUUCGCCGGAGCCUGUGAACGUCAGAUCCCUCCUCAGCACCUACGUCACCGACGUGGCGGUGCACGCCGUGGUGGGCGAGCGGAACGGGGAACUCCGAGAUGAGUUCCUGAAGCGCCUCAACGAGGGCGUCAUGCUGGCCGCCGGGUUCAGCCUCGCCGACCUGUUCCCAUCGUCGCGCCUCGCACGUGCCUUUAGUGGAUCGACGCGCCGGCUGGAGGCGAUAUGCCACGAUAUGAGCCGGGUCAUAGACCACAUCAUCGAGGACCACCGCACGAGGAGGUCGGCCGGCGCCGGCGGCGAGGAAGAAGACAUCGUGGACGUGCUACUGAGGAUCCAGAAUGACGGUAGCCUCCAGGUGCCUCUUGACGAUGGAACCAUCCGUGCCGUGAUUACCGAUCUGGUUUCGGGAGGUAGUGAGACCACGGCGACAACACUCCAAUGGGCGAUGGCGGAGCUCAUGCGGAGCCCGGCGGCACUCCGUAGGGCACAAGCAGAGGUGCGUGGUGCCCACAUCAGGGAGAGCUGCGUCCGCGAGGAGGCCCUGAAGAAACUGCACUAUCUGCAUUUAGUAAUCAAAGAGACGCUUCGACUACACCCAGUGGUGCCGUUUCUCAUCCCACGGGAGUGUCUGGAACCUUGCCGUGUCCUCGGCUAUGACGUGCCCAAGGGCGCCAUGGUGCUUGUCAACACAUGGGCAAUUGGGCGGGAUUCGGCGAGCUGGGGCACUGAUGCCAAGGAGUUCCGGCCAGAGAGGUUCGAGGAGGCUGGUGACGCGGCGGUGGACUUUAGAGGAACGAACUUCGAGCUCGUGCCUUUCGGCGCUGGCAGGAGGAUCUGCCCUGGGAUAACGUUUGGGCUUGCGGUCGUGGAGCUUAUGCUAGCGAGCCUGUUGUUCCAUUUCGACUGGGAGCUCCCUGGAGGAGGCGCCGGUGGGCUAGACAUGGCGGAGGAGCUCGGGAUCACGGCGAGGAGGAAGGGUGACCUGUGGUUGCAUGCCACAGUUCAUGUGCCGGCUCCUAAUCCAUAA